GACCUGUGGGUUGCCCAUUCGCUUGCAGAAACCAGUGAAUGUGGUGUCAAAAGGCAUCAAUUAAAUUCUUUGCAGCCAUUUCCGGCCCUUGAACUUGAUAUCUUUGAUGUAGGAACUGCAUGAGUUACAGUU
rnacentral:snoRNA from 12 species